UGGGGAAUUUUGGACAAUGGGCGAAAGCUUGAUCCAGCAAUGCCGCGUGUGUGAAGAAGGCCUUCGGGUUGUAAAGCACUUUUGUCCGGAAAGAAAUCCUUGGCUCUAAUACAGUCGGGGGAUGACGGUACCGGAAGAAUAAGCACCGGCUAACUACGUGCCAGCAGCCGCGGUAAUACGUAGGGUGCAAGCGUUAAUCGGAAUUACUGGGCGUAAAGCGUGCGCAGGCGGUUUGCUAAGACCGAUGUGAAAUCCCCGGGCUCAACCUGGGAACUGCAUUGGUGACUGGCAGGCUAGAGUAUGGCAGAGGGGGGUAGAAUUCCACGUGUAGCAGUGAAAUGCGUAGAGAUGUGGAGGAAUACCGAUGGCGAAGGCAGCCCCCUGGGCCAAUACUGACGCUCAUGCACGAAAGCGUGGGGAGCAAACAGGAUUAGAUACCCUGGUAGUCCACGCCCUAAAACGAUGUCAACUAGUUGUUGGGGAUUCAUUUCCUUAGUAACGUAGCUAACGCGUGAAGUUGACCGCCUGGGGAGUACGGUCG
rnacentral:rRNA from 1 species